UCUCCCUACUUCAAUUUACUCCACUUAAACUGCAAUACCAAAAUCCAGAGAGAGAGAGAGAGAGAGGGAGGAAACCAUGGAAGAGGCUAAGGAAGUGAGUAAAAGCGAUGAGCCAAAGUACAGAGGAGUAAAAGCCAUGCCUUUUGUCAUAGGAAACGAGACAUUUGAGAAGCUGGGAACGCUCGGCACGUCAUCGAAUCUCUUGGUGUACCUAACAAAUGUGUUCCACAUGAAUUCGGUUACGGCAACAAAUUUUGUCAACGUCUUCAAUGGGACUUGUAACUUUGGAACCCUGCUCGGAGCUUUCCUCUCCGACACUUACUUUGGCCGCUAUAAAACUCUGGGAUUUGCUUCCAUAUCCUCCUCCUUGGGGAUGCUCGUACUGACACUCACAGCAGCAAUCUCAAACCUCCACCCUCCCUCCUGUGGCACUACAGACACAUGCGUUGCCCCAACUGCAUGGCAAAUGGCUUUCCUACUGAGUGCCUUCGUCCUACUGGUGAUUGGCGCAAGCGGUAUCCGCCCGUGCAACCUGGCCUUCGGAGCGGACCAGUUCAACCCCAACACAGAGUCGGGGAAGAGGGGAAUCACUAGCUUCUUCAACUGGUACUACUUCACCUUCACGUUCGCGAUGAUGGUUUCCCUGACGGUGAUCGUCUACGUGCAGACAGACAAGAGCUGGGCCUGGGGAUUGGCCAUCCCGACGUUCCUCAUGUUCUUGUCCUGCUUCUUCUUCUUCGUUGGAACGAGGAUUUACGUCAUGGUGAUUCCCGCGGGGAGCCCCGUGACGAGUGUGCUGCAGGUUUUAGUUUCCGCAGUCAAGAAGAGAAAGGCGGCGUUGCCGGAACAGCCGUCGGUAUCCCUUUGUAACCACAUUCCUCCUAAUUCCAUCAGCUCGAGGCUCGCUUACACGAAGCAAUUCAGAUUCCUCAACAAAGCAGCGAUCAUCACCCCUGAAGACCAAAUCAAGCCCGACGGUUCAGCCGCAAAUCCAUGGAGACUCUGCAGUAUCCAGCAAGUGGAAGAACUGAAAUGCCUGUUGAGAAUCACACCCAUAUGGGCGGCAGGGAUCAUCUACUACGUCUCCGUAGUCCAGCAGCAAACCUACGUAGUCUUCCAGGCCAUUCAGUCCGACAGGCGUCUGGGCAACACCAGUUUCCGGAUCCCACCGGCGUCCUACAUUGUCUUCAGCAUGUUAACCCUCACUAUAUGGAUCCCUAUCUACGACAGAAUCAUAGUGCCAACUCUCCGAAAGCUAACCAAAAAAGAAGACGGAAUCACAAUCCUCCAAAAAAUUGGCAUUGGAAUGGGCGUCGCGAUAGCCACUAUGGUCGUAUCGGCCAUAGUAGAAACGCAUAGGAGGGAUUUAGCUCUUACUAGGCCAACAUUAGGGUCUGUACCGAGAAAAGGUGCGAUUUCUUCCAUGUCGGGGUACUGGCUAGUCCCUCAGUUGGCACUAGCGGGACUUUCUGAAGGGUUCGCGAUUAUUGGACAAAUCGAGUUUUUCUACAAGCAGUUCCCGGAAAACAUGAGGAGUAUCGCGGGGUCUUGCUUGUUUUGCGGGAUGGCGUUGGCGAGUUAUUUGAGCAGCUUCUUGGUGUCGACGGUGCACGGCAUAACGGAGGGAGAUGCGAGAGGGAAUUGGUUGGCAGAAGAUCUUAACAAGGGGAGAUUGGACUACUUUUACUAUCUAAUCGCUGCACUAGAGUUCUUGAACUUGGUCUACUUCCUUUUGUGUGCAAAGUGGUACAAGUACAAAGGAGCCAAUGCCAAAACCCUUGACUUUCCCCUUGAGACAAUGCAGUCCGAUAACCCUCCGGUUUGAUACACAAAACGAGUCGAGCUUCUUUGUUUUGUUUUACUUAGAAAGCGAAUGCAUGUCCUACGUAUUACGAAUACACACCACGGAAAUCCAUAAAUAUGUAACGGAACAUCUUUAGUUUAUAAAAAAAUUGAUCUUUCGGUCCUUACUGAAAAUCUAAAGGGGCCUCAGGGGAGAGCUAUCGGUCGCCUUCUCUCUUUUUAUCUUUUUCCUUUUUUUUUGGCAAAAACUUAGGUGAUGAUAAAAACUUGGUUGCCCUUGUCAAGUAUAGGUGGUUUUCAUGAAAAUGACCUUUCACUCUGGCUGGUUGGAUUGGUCAACUGGUGUGUUUACUUGGCUCUGUCUUGCCUGAUUUACAAGUUAGUACGACAAUGGCCCUCGGGUGAUGACUUCUACGGCCUGUUUGAAACUUAGGGAAUUGAAAAAGGAAAUAAAAA